GUUUUUAACUAACCGUAACUAUAAAUUCUCAAAAAUAGAAGAUAUAUCGUAAUAUUGUGUUGUACAUAAUAUUAAACGACAAAAUAUAACAUGCAAGUUCGUUAAUAAAACUUUAAGUUAACUUUUUUUAAAUUAACAUCCUGUUUAAAAUACAAAUUUGUUUUUCUCAAAACAACAAAUUUUAUGUCGUGGCGAUCUUGCUUCCAGGGUGCAGGUUACCCGAUAUUUCGGUAAUAAAAAAACAUUGUUUAAUUUUUUUGAAUCACUAUA